UGUAAAGUUCCUUCGAAGAGUCGAGUUGUUUGGGAAUGCAGCUCUAAGUGGGUGGUAAAUUCCAUCUAAAGCUAAAUAUUGGCGAGAGACCGAUAGCGAACAAGUACAGUGAUGGAAAGAUGAAAAGAACUUUGAAAAGAGAGUGAAAAAGUACGUGAAAUUGUUGAAAGGGAAGGGCUUGAGAUCAGACUUGGUAUUUUGUAUGUUACUUCUUCGGGGGUGGCCUCUACAGUUUAUCGGGCCAGCAUCAGUUUGGGCGGUAGGAGAAUUGCGUUGGAAUGUGGCACGGCUUCGGUUGUGUGUUAUAGCCUUCGUCGAUACUGCCAGCCUAGACUGAGGACUGCGGUUUAUACCUAGGAUGUUGGCAUAAUGAUCUUAAGUCGCCCGUCUUGAAACACGGACCAAGGAGUCUAACGUCUAUGCGAGUGUUUGGGUGUAAAACCCGUACGCGUAAUGAAAGUGAACGUAGGUGGGGGCCCGUAUGGGUGCACCAUCGACCGAUCCUGAUGUCUUCGGAUGGAUUUGAGUAAGAGCAUAGCUGUUGGGACCCGAAAGAUGGUGAACUAUGCCUGAAUAGGGUGAAGCCAGAGGAAACUCUGGUGGAGGCUCGUAGCGGUUCUGACGUGCAAAUCGAUCGUCGAA
rnacentral:rRNA from 1 species